UAGCGGCCAUAGCAGUGGGGAUACACCUGGACUCUUUCCGAACCCAGAAGUUAAGCCCACUUACGUAUUGUCCGGUACUGAGUUGUGAGAACACUCGGGAACGACAGUGCGCUGCUAUCC
rnacentral:rRNA from 1 species